GCGCCUGUAGCUCAGUUGGAUAGAGCGUUGGUCUACGAAACCAAAGGUCAUGGGUUCGAGUCCCGUCAGGCGCG
rnacentral:tRNA from 1 species